rnacentral:siRNA from 1 species
AGAGGUGAAAUGUUGAGAUUGCAA